GGGUCAGUAGGUUGGUCGUGCCACCGGUACGUACUGGUCUCACUGAUUCCUCCUUCCUGAAGAACCGUAAUGCCAUUAAUUUGGUGUUGCGGGGAAACAGGACUGUUACUUUGAAAAAAUUAGAGUGUUUAAAGCAAGCUAACGCUUGAAUACAUUAUCAUGGAAUAAUGAAAUAGGUCUAUCGAUCCUAUUUUGUUGGUUUCUAGGAUUGACGUA
rnacentral:rRNA from 1 species